rnacentral:lncRNA from 1 species
GCGAGAUUUUUGGUCCACUGAUAUGCUGCCACGUUACCAUCAACAGUACAUAAGAAUUUUAGUCCAAUAGGAUCGUGACACCUCAUCAGUCAAUGCCACAUCAUCGGUCAAUGCCACGUCAUCGAUCUGUCUAUGUGAACAGUGUCGUGAACAGUAACGUAGACAGUACCGUGCACGUGAAUAGUACCGUACAUGUGAACAAUGCCAUUUCCCUUUUAUGCUCCUCCUAAGGUUUUCGACCAUCCUGAGUUCAAAAGUGAUGUCCGUUUUACCAUUUGAUCUCUCGUUUAUUGUGAAAUGACUAUGAUGCCCCUAAAAUACAUAAAAUACUUAAUUAAAAUAAAACACACAUAAUUAAAUUACAAGAACCUUAAAUACAUAAAAGUAAGGGUUGUUAGUAAGACUUGAAAUGUAAAAUAACGAUUUUCUCCUUUAUAAAUAUAUAUUUUCUAACACUCAACA